CAGGAUGAACGCUGGCGGCGUGCCUAACACAUGCAAGUCGAGCGAUUACUUCGGUAAAGAGCGGCGGACGGGUGAGUAACGCGUGGGUAACCUGCCUCAUACACAUGGAUAACAUACCGAAAGGUAUGCUAAUACAGGAUAAUAUAAGAGGUUCACAUGGAUUUCUUAUCAAAGCUCCGGCGGUAUGAGAUGGACCCGCGUCUGAUUAGCUAGUUGGUAAGGUAAUGGCUUACCAAGGCGACGAUCAGUAGCCGACCUGAGAGGGUGAUCGGCCACAUUGGAACUGAGAUACGGUCCAAACUCCUACGGGAGGCAGCAGUGGGGAAUAUUGCACAAUGGGCGAAAGCCUGAUGCAGCAACGCCGCGUGAGUGAUGAAGGCCUUCGGGUCGUAAAACUCUGUCCUCAAGGAAGAUAAUGACGGUACUUGAGGAGGAAGCCCCGGCUAACUACGUGCCAGCCGCCGC
rnacentral:rRNA from 1 species